GCAUCGGUGGCUUAGUGGUAGAAUGCUCGCCUGCCACACGGGCGGCCCGGGUUCGAUUCCCGGCAGAUGCA
rnacentral:tRNA from 1 species